ACUACGGGCGGCAGCAGUGGGGAAUAUUGGGCAAUGGGCGCAAGCCUGACCCAGCAACGCCGAGUGAAGGAAGAAGGCUUUCAGGUUGAAAACUUCUUUUAUCAGAGAAGAAGCAAGUGACGGUACCUGAUGAAUAAGCCACGGCUAACUACGUGCCAGCAGCCGCGGUAAUACGUAGGUGGCAAGCGUUAUCCGGAUUUACUGGGUGUAAAGGGCGUGUAGGCGGGAAAGCAAGUCAGAUGUGAAAACCAUGGGCUCAACCUGUGGCCUGCAUUUGAAACUGUUUUUCUUGAGUACUGGAGAGGCAGACGGAAUUCCUAGUGUAGCGGUGAAAUGCGUAGAUAUUAGGAGGAACACCAGUGGCGAAGGUGGUCUGCUGGACAGCAACUGACGCUGAGGCGCGAAAGCGUGGGGAGCAAACAGGAUUAGAUACCCUUGUAGUU
rnacentral:rRNA from 1 species